rnacentral:rRNA from 1 species
AUACGUAGGGUGCGAGCGUUGUCCGGAAUUACUGGGCGUAAAGAGCUCGUAGGUGGUUUGGCGCGUCGUCUGUGAAAUUCCGGGGCUUAACUCCGGGCGUGCAGGCGAUACGGGCAUAACUUGAGUACUGUAGGGGAGACUGGAAUUCCUGGUGUAGCGGUGAACUGCGCAGAUAUCAGGAGGAACACCGGUGGCGAAGGCGGGUCUCUGGGCAGAAACUGACGCUGAGGAGCGAAAGCAUGGGUAGCGAACAGGAUUAGAUACCCUGGUAGUCCAUGCCGUAAACGGUGGGCGCUAGGUGUAGGGGUCUUCCACGACUUCUGUGCCGUAGCUAACGCAUUAAGCGCCCCGCCUGGGGAGUACGGCCGCAAGGCUAAAACUCAAAUGAAUUGACGGGG